AGUGAACGCUGGCGGUAGGCCUAACACAUGCAAGUCGCACGGCAGCACAGUAAGUGCUUGCUCUUACGGGUGGCGAGUGGCGGACGGGUGCGGAAUACAUUGGAAUCUAUUUUUUCGUGGGGGAUAACGUAGGGAAACUUACGCUAAUACCGCAUACGAGCUACGGGUGAACGCACGGGAUGUUCGGACUUUGCCCGAUUGAAUGAGCCGAUGUCGGAUUCGCUAGGUGGCGGGGUAAAGGCCCACCAAGGCGACGAUCCGUAGCUGGUCUGAGAGGAUGAUCAGCCACACUGGAACUGAGACACGGUCCAGACUCCUACGGGAGGCAGCAGUGGGGAAUAUUGGACAAAGGGCGCAAGCCUGAUCCAGCCAUACCGCGUGGGUGAAGAAGGCCUUCGGGUUGUAAAGCCCUUUUGUUGGGAAAGAAAAGCAGCAGGUUAAUACCCCGCUGUUCUGACGGUACCCAAAGAAUAAGCACCGGCUAACUUCGUG
rnacentral:rRNA from 1 species